AUACCUUUCUCGGCCUUUUGACUAAGAUAAGGUGUAAUAUUUGUUCCUAUCAGUUUAAAUGUUUAAUAUCUGAUAUAUGGAUCAUAUGUUCACUUUGAUAUUAAAUUUAUUUUUUAUGGGUAUCAAAUAUGAUUGUGUGCCGUCGCAAAGCACAUGCAUUGUACUAAUU
rfam:Zea mays cultivar B73 chromosome 8, whole genome shotgun sequence.